rnacentral:lncRNA from 1 species
UGGAUUCACAUUUCUUGCUGUUCAGCUUUAGCUGGGUUCUGUGGAGGGGUUUGGGUGCUGCUGCAGAGCUCCAGAGCAUCUCCCUGGCACGCUGGCCUCCCUCAGAGGAAGAGCUGAACUCCCUGUGGCCCUCAGAGGCAGCAGGGCAGCUCAGAUUUGGUUGCUCAGUUGUUGUUUUAGACUCUCUUAUCUCAUCAGCAGGAUCCCAAGUGUGGACUCUGACCCAGGGGAGUUUUCAGGGUUGUGUACAGUUAAAUCUGCCCCUCUCAUUUCUCUCCUGCCACUUCCAUGUGGGACAUUUACACACAAACACCACCCUGGCACGACAGCAUGGGGCACACACUCUGAUUUCAAUGUGUUUGUGGCCUUAGUGCCACUGGGAAUGAGAAAAUCAGAGAUUUGGGUAGAAUAUUCUCUGCUAGGAAAUGCACACGAGACCCCUGGGAAAGCCCACACCAAACACUGCAGCACCAGAAACCAUAAUAAUAAUAACAGUAGCAGUAAAAAUAAUAAUAAUAAAAGCUAUUUAUGACACAGCCUUUAUUCACAGAGACAUUUGCCCCAGGGCUUUGUUUUACAGAUCCCCCCUCCUCUGCCCUGUAGCCCACAGCACCCCAGUGCAGUCCACAGCAUCCCAGGGCAAUCCAUGACCCCACAGGACAUGGGAUGGGGGGGGGGAUAAACCCUGCAGAGCUCCCCCAGCUCAGCCCCACAGGAGCCACCCUACAGGAAAAGGCAAAAGGAUCCAGAGAGGGAAAUGCUGAGGGUCUGUGCCAGCCCCUCCCUACCUGGGGUGGGCUGCUGGGCCAGGCUGAGCCGUGCUGGGCCAGGCUGAGCCGUGCUGGGCCCCCUGGAGCAGGGAAAUGGGAACAAGGCCCCCCUAAGGCACUGCAGUCACACCCCCUCACCCCUGCUCCAGACCCCCCUUCAAGCUCAGAGCAGGACAUGGGGUGGGGAUUUCACAAACCCCAGGAUGUGGGACCGGUUCCUGUGUGCCUGGGCACCAUGGAGGAUGGGGAUGGCCAUGGGAUUGCCACAGGAUUGCCAUGGGAUCACCAUGGGAUUGCCAUGGAAUUGCCAUGGGAUUGCCCCAGGCAAUCAUGGCACGUGGGACAACGGGCACGCUCUGCCUCCAGCUGCCACUGCCUCGGAGUCCUUUGGUAUCUUGAGUUGGCCUGAUGGCAUCCCAGGAGCAUUGGGCUGAAGUGCCAAGCUGGGGAGCCAUGGAAGCAGGUGGGAAUGCUCAUCCCAUAGUCCCAGAGCACGGCUGUGUCCAUCGGGAUGUGCAGCCUGGAGCCUCUCCCAGGGUGGGGACAAGGGACACCAACUGCCCUGUGCUCCCCGUGCAAGAGAUUUGGCAAUCCAGAGCCAGGACAGCUGGUCUGGAAAGGCUGCAGGAGAAGGGCUGGGUAUUUCUCCUUCUUCUUGGGCACUGAUUGGUUCAAGUCUGUAUCACAGUGAAGUCUGAGACGUGGGGAAGGAACCCAAAGCACCUUCCCUGACAGAGCCAGGACAGCUCCUCCAGCCAGGCACAUCCCACCUGCUGCUGACCACAGAGCCUCCCAUCCCUCGGGAGCACACUCUGGAGCUUCUCCCUCCCCUCUGGAGGGACACUGGCAGCCAAAACCGGCUCAGCCCAUCCUCAAACACGAGUAAACAUCAAGAGAAACUAAGAGGCACUAUAAUAACGCAGAUCCGGGGGGGCCGGGCUUGGCACGCCCUGCCUGGCUCCGGAUGGAUGGCUCGGUCCAGCCCAGGUGUCAGAUGUCCUGCAGGAGUGGCCAGGUCCAGCCCAGGUGUCAGAUGUCCUGCAGGGGUGGCCAGGUCCAGCCCAGGGCUCAGAUGUCCUGCAGGGAGUGGCCGGGCUCGCUGCGCUCCCGUUUCACCAGUGGCUCCCCCGGGUCCCCCUCCGUGCCCAGCUCGAUGUCAUCUGCAAAGGACAGGGCUCAGAGCAGGGCCCGGGGCCACCACGAGCUGCUUUCCAGCAGAGCAGGCUGCAAGAGGCAGCUCGAGGGGCCCCAAUCCUCCCAAAACA